AGGGAUAUGGCGGAAUUGGUAGACGCUACAGACUUAGAAUUUGUUGGUUCAUUGAACCGUGAGGGUUCAAGUCCCUCUAUCCCUA
rnacentral:tRNA from 1 species